UAAUACGUAGGUGGCGAGCGUUGUCCGGAUUUACUGGGCGUAAAGAGCGCGCAGGCGGCUGGGCAAGUCCGAUGUGAAAGCUUCCGGCUUAACUGGAAAAUUGCAUCGGAAACUGCUCGGCUUGAAGGUGGGAGAGGGUAGCGGAAUUCCCGGUGUAGUGGUGAAAUGCGUAGAUAUCGGGAGGAACACCAGUGGCGA
rnacentral:rRNA from 1 species